rnacentral:rRNA from 1 species
CCUACGGGUGGCACCAGUGGGGAAUAUUGCACAAUGGGCGCAAGCCUGAUGCAGCCAUGCCGCGUGUAUGAAGAAGGCCUUCGGGUUGUAAUGUACUUUCAGCGGGGAGGAAGGUGUUGUGGUUAAUAACCACAGCAAUUGACGUUACCCGCAGAAGAAGCACCGGCUAACUCCGUGCCAGCAACCGCGGUAAUACGGAGGGUGCAAGCGUUAAUCGGAAUUACUGGGCGUAAAGCGCACGCAGGCGGUCUGCCAAGUCGGAUGUGAAAUCCCCGGGCUCAACCUGGGAACUGCAUUCGAAACUGGCAGGCUAGAGUCUUGUAGAGGGGGGUAGAAUUCCAGGUGUAGCGGUGAAAUGCGUAGAGAUCUGGAGGAAUACCGGUGGCGAAGGCGGCCCCCUGGACAAAGACUGACUCUCAGGUGCGAAAGCGUGGGGAGCAAACAGGAUUAGAUACCCCAGUAGUC